GGUCUGCAGCUUAAUGGUAGAGCAUAUGCUUUGUAUGCAGAAGGUCCCAGGUUCAAUUUUGGGUGUCUCCGGGUAGAGCU